AGACUCAUGAAAUGGCCACAGAUGACAAGAGCUCCCCGACAUUGGACUCUGCUAAUGACUUGCCUCACUCUCCUGCCAGUCCCUCUCACCUCACUCACUUUAAACCGUUGACUCCUGACCAGGAUGAGCCCCCCUUCAAGUCAGCAUAUAGUUCGUUUGUAAAUCUUUUUCGUUUUAACAAAGAGAGAGGAGAAGGGGGCCAAGGAGAGCAGCAGUCUCCGAGUUCAAGUUGGUCCAGCCCUCAGAUCCCUUCAAGGACACAGUCUGUGAGGUCGCCUGUACCUUAUAAAAAGCAGCUUAAUGAGGAGCUUCACCGGCGCUCUUCAGUGUUAGGUGAACAGCUCUCUUAUUCACUCUUAUUCACUGGGAAUUUUCAUCUUCGUGUUUUCUAGGCGAUAUGAUGACUUAAUGUUUUUGUUACUUGGAACAGUCAAGUUCUCUUUAGAAUAAAUAAAACUCACGUGAUAAAAGAAUUCUUCAACUCCUGAAAUGUUCUUCAUCUUGUCAUUAAACAUUGAUUAUGCAA
rnacentral:lncRNA from 1 species